rnacentral:rRNA from 1 species
GACGAACGCUGGCGGCGUGCUUAACACAUGCAAGUCGAGCGGUAAGGCCCUUUCGGGGGUACACGAGCGGCGAACGGGUGAGUAACACGUGGGUGACCUGCCCUCAGCUCUGGGAUAAGCCUGGGAAACCGGGUCUAAUACUGGAUAUGACUCCAUGACGCAUGUUGUGGGGUGGAAAGCCUUGUGCGGCUGAGGAUGGGCCCGCGGCCUAUCAGCUUGUUGGUGGGGUGANGGCCUACCAAGGCGACGACGGGUAGCCGGCCUGAGAGGGCGACCGGCCACACUGGGACUGAGACACGGCCCAGACUCCUACGGGAGGCAGCAGUGGGGAAUCUUGCGCAAUGGGCAAAGCCUGACGCAGCGACGCCGCGUGAGGGAUGACGG